AAAAACAUAAAACAACAACAACAUACAACAAAAAACCAUAAACUCUCGAACAAGAAGAAACUCAUGUAAAAAUCAUGUGAAAUAUAAAAACAAUAUACACGAAAAGAAAGAACAAGGAAGAAGAAGAGAGAAAAUGUGCGCUAGGGUUUUACUGUGAUAGAUACGACGAUACUGUCAAGAAGUGAGAGUUAAUUCACUUAUAUUAUAUAUGAGUAAAUAAUUUCACUACGGUUGUAUUCAAAAAC
rnacentral:lncRNA from 1 species